rnacentral:rRNA from 1 species
GGUCAAGCUACAAAGGGCGCAUGGUGAAUGCCUUGGCACCAGUAGUCGAAGAAGGACGUGAUAAGCUGCGAUAAGCUUCGGGUAGGCGCAAAUAGCCUGUGAUCCGAAGAUUUCCGAAUGGGGCAACCCACACUACUAACGUAGUGUACUAUAAACUGAAUUCAUAGGUUUAUAGGGAUAUACCCGGGGAACUGAAACAUCUAAGUACCCGGAGGAAGAGAAAGAAAAAUCGAUUUCCUAAGUAGCGGCGAGCGAAAGGGAAAGAGCCCAAACCAGGAACUUGUUCCUGGGGUUGCGGACAGAUCAUAAACGGAGAGGUAUCUUAAUUGAAGAGAGCUGGAAGGCUCCGCCGUAGAAGGUAACAGCCCUGUAAGUGAAAAGAGAAAACUCUAGAUCUGCUCCAGAGUACCACGAGACACGUGAAACCUUGUGGGAAGCAGGGAGGACCACCUCCCAAGGCUAAAUACUAACUGGUGACCGAUAGUGAAGCAGUACCGUGAGGGAAAGGUGAAAAGAACCCCGGGAGGGGAGUGAAAUAGAACCUGAAACCGUGUGUCCACAACCGGUCAAAGCACUUUUACGUGCGAUGACGUGCUUUUUGUAGAACGAGCCAGCGAGUUACGAUAUGUAGCAAGGUUAAGCACUUAAGGUGCGCAGCCGAAGGGAAACCGAGUCUGAAUAGGGCAAUAAGUUGCAUGUCGUAGACCCGAAACCGGGUGACCUAUCCAUGGACAGGUUGAAGCGGAAGUAAAAUUCCGUGGAGGACCGAACCACGUUGGUGUUGAAAAACCAUGGGAUGAGCUGUGGAUAGCGGAGAAAUUCCAAUCGAACUCGGAGAUAGCUGGUUCUCCUCGAAAUAGCUUUAGGGCUAGCGUUGAGAAUGAGUAAUGGAGGUAGAGCACUGAAUGGGCUAGGGGCUGACAACAGUUACUGAACCCUAUCAAACUCCGAAUGCCAUAUACUUGAAUCUCAGCAGUCAGACUACGAAUGAUAAGAUCCGUGGUCAAAAGGGAAACAGCCCAGAUCAUCAGCUAAGGUCCCAAAGUGUAAGUUAAGUGGAAAAGGAUGUGGGAUUUCUAAGACAACUAGGAUGUUGGCUUAGAAGCAGCCACUCAUUCAAAGAGUGCGUAAUAGCUCACUAGUCGAGAGAUCCUGCGCCGAAGAUGUCCGGGGCUAAAACUUACCACCGAAGCUAUGGGCUCGAAAGAGCGGUAGAGGAGCUUCCUGUAUGGAUUGAAGUCGUACCGAAAGGAGCGGUGGACUGUACAGGAGUGAGUAUGCUGGCAUAAGUAGCGAGAAAUAAGUGAGAAUCUUAUUGGUCGAAAACCUAAGGUUUCCUGAGGAAGGCUCGUCCGCUCAGGGUUAGUCGGGACCUAAGCCGAGGCCGAAAGGCGUAGGUGAUGGACAAUCGGUUGAUAUUCCGAUACCGCCAACUGACGUUAUUACAAAUGGGAUGACGCAGGAGGAUAAGAUGUGCNNNNNNNNNNNNNNNNNNNNNNNNNNNNNNNNNNNNNNNNNNNNNNNNNAUCUGAUUCCACGCUGCCAAGAAAAGUCUCUAUGGAGGAAGUUGGUGCCCGUACCGCAAACCGACACAGGUAGGUGAGGAGAGAAUCCUAAGACCAGCGGAAGAAUUGUUGUCAAGGAACUCGGCAAAUUGACCCCGUAAGUUAGCGAUAAGGGGUGCCUACGCAAGUAGGUCGCAGAGAAUAGGCCCAAGCAACUGUUUAGCAAAAACACAGGUCUCUGCUAAAGCGAAAGCUGAUGUAUAGGGGCUGACGCCUGCCCGGUGCUGGAAGGUUAAGGGGAACACUUAGCGCAAGCGAAGGUGUGAACUUAAGCCCCAGUAAACGGCGGCCGUAACUAUAACGGUCCUAAGGUAGCGAAAUUCCUUGUCGGGUAAGUUCCGACCCGCACGAAUGGCGUAAUGACUUGGGCACUGUCUCGACAACAAAUCCGGCGAAAUUGUAGUGCAAGUGAAGAUGCUUGCUACCCGCGAUUGGACGGAAAGACCCCGUAGAGCUUUACUGUAGCUUAGCAUUGAGUUUCGAUAUUGUCUGUACAGGAUAGGUGGGAGACUGAGAAACAAGGGCGUCAGCCUUUGUGGAGUCAUCCUUGGGAUACCACCCUGACAGUAUUGGGAUUCUAACCGGCGGCCAUGAAUCUGGUCACGGGACAUUGUUAGGUGGGCAGUUUGACUGGGGCGGUCGCCUCCUAAAAAGUAACGGAGGCGCCCAAAGGUUCCCUCAGAACGGUUGGAAAUCGUUCGUAGAGUGCAAAGGCAGAAGGGAGCCUGACUGCGACACAUACAAGUGGAGCAGGGACGAAAGUCGGGCUUAGUGAUCCGGUGGUUCCUCGUGGGAGGGCCAUCGCUCAACGGAUAAAAGCUACCUCGGGGAUAACAGGCUGAUCUCCCCCAAGAGUCCACAUCGACGGGGAGGUUUGGCACCUCGAUGUCGGCUCGUCGCAUCCUGGGGCUGAAGUAGGUCCCAAGGGUUGGGCUGUUCGCCCAUUAAAGCGGCACGCGAGCUGGGUUCAGAACGUCGUGAGACAGUUCGGUCCCUAUCCGUCGCGGGCGUAGGAAAUUUGAGAGGAGCUGUCCUUAGUACGAGAGGACCGGGAUGGACUGACCUCUGGUGCACCAGUUGUUCCGCCAGGAGCACAGCUGGGUAGCUAUGUCGGGACGGGAUAAACGCUGAAAGCAUCUAAGCGUGAAGCCCACCUCAAGAUUAGAUUUCCCAUAGCGUAAGCUAGUAAGACCCCUUGAAGAACACAAGGUUGAUAGGUCAGAGGUGUAAGCAUGGUAACAUGUUCAGCUGACUGAUACUAAUAGGUCGAGGGCUUGACCAA